rfam:Glycine soja cultivar W05 scaffold228_3, whole genome shotgun sequence.
AAACUAUGGUUUGGGCACUUCCACAACAAAGACUUGAAUCUCUCCCAUGUUUCACAGAGAGGUUCAUCAGACCCUUGGGAAAAAACAACGAUGGCUGAUUUU